UCUUCAUUUCACGUGCUCUCUCACCGGUCAGAGAGACAAGAGAGAGUGUGUGAAAUGAAGAGA
rnacentral:pre_miRNA from 1 species